GACGAACGCUGGCGGCGUGCUUAACACAUGCAAGUCGAACGGGUCUGCCCUGUUUUUUGCGGGGUGGGUCAGUGGCGAACGGGUGAGUAACACGUGAGUAACCUGCCCCUCACUUCUGGAUAACCGCUUGAAAGGGUGGCUAAUACGGGGUGUUCUGGCUGUGCCGCAUGGUGUGGCUGGGAAAGAUUCACUUUUGUGGUGUUUUGGUGGGGGAUGGGCUCGCGGCCUAUCAGCUUGUUGGUGGGGUGAUGGCCUGCCAAGGCUUUGACGGGUAGCCGGCCUGAGGGGGUGGGCGGUCACGCUGGGACUGAGAUACGGCCCAGACUCCUGCGGGAGGCAGCAGUGGGGGGUAUUGCACAAUGGGCGGAAGCCUGAUGCAGCGACGUCGCGUGAGGGAUGGAGGCCUUCGGGUUGUGAACCUCUUUCGCCGGUGAAGAAGGUCCUGCUCUUUGUGGUGGGGUUGACGGUAGCCGGGUUAUGAAGCGCCGGCUAACUACGU
rnacentral:rRNA from 1 species